UCUUUUCCUUAUUCCCCUACACCCGUCGGUUCCAAGGCACACACGAGAGAAAACUUCUCAAGUCUCCUUCCUUCACACGAGAGGCUCUUGGUUCCUCUAGUUCGCGCGUCCUCUCCCUUUUCUUCAAGUCAUCUCUCUCAUUUCUUAAACCUAACAUCUCCACCGAAAAUCUCCAAGGAAGUCAACCUCGUAUGAAUGAUGAGGCUGUGGAGCUAGGCAUUGCUGAGGAGGGAGGGGCCGAUGCUUAGAGUUCCCUGUCGGUUCGGUUUUGAUGAUAAUGGUUAUGUUUUUAUGCCUUUAUGAUGGGUCCCGUGUUGGGAUGUUUUGUUGGCUUGACUUUAAGACAAUAUGUCUUCGGGCAUGAUGUAAAUAUUAUGGUGGGGUGAUGGUAAUGGCGUAACUUCUAUGAUGGGGUGAUGGUAACCCCACAUAAGAUGGUUAAAUGCCUUUUUGGUAUGUGUUGAAGGGACUAAGUCCCCUCUUAUUAAGGACUGGUUAUGUUUGGUGCAUGGAUGAUAGACUCUGAGAGUCCUUUACUUAGAAUAUUGAACAGGUCGUCUAUCAGGUGUUUCUUUUAA